CGAGGGUCUGGGGGCGCGAGGACCCCUAGGCCGUGCCGGCUAGAGGAGAUGCCGGUGGCCCGCGGGCCUCAAGACCGAACCCCAGCCUGGGUCCGCACAGCUUCUCACCUGGGGCAGGAGGGUGCUCCAACACCCUCCCGCCCUCGUUCCCCCACGCGUGAGCCAGAGCCGCGCGUCCAGCACCACGGACAGCUCCCGGGCGACCCCUGGUGA
rnacentral:lncRNA from 1 species